AGGAGAAGAAGACGAAGACGACGGAGAAGGAGAAGAAACCAAAUGCCUCCACAGGUAUCGUCCACUCGCCAUAUCCACGCAGGUCCAAAAUCCAGAUUCUAUUGCAGAUCGAACCUUGGAGGGAAAUGGACGAUCAUUAGUGGAAGAUUCGUCGGAAUCAUUGUCGUCGGCGAUAAGGGGCUGUGAUUUGAAGUUUCUUACAACGAAAAAUCCGGCGAGAGUAGCAGAGAGAAAUAUCAGAAUAAUCCUCAACGGGCACAUUUUCUUUUCCCCAGAAGCGAUCAACGCAUGAUUUAGAAAGGCAAAUUAUAUCUCACUCAAUAAGUUAGUCCACUGAAUAUUACAUAAAAGUAAUUUAUUUUAUAUUUAAAAAAUAUUAAAUUUAUAGAACGCAUUUUAACG
rnacentral:misc_RNA from 1 species